UACGAAGGGGGCGAGCGUUGUUCGGAUUUACUGGGCGUAAAGGGCGCGCAGGCGGCGGAUCAAGUCAGACGUGAAAGCCCCGGGCUUAACCUGGGAACUGCGUUUGGGACUGAUUUGCUAGAGAUCGGGAGAGGAGAGUGGAAUUCCCAGUGUAGAGGUGAAAUUCGUAGAUAUUGGGAAGAACACCGGUGGCGAAGGCGGGUCUCUGGGCCGAUACUGACGCUGAGGAGCGAAAGCGUGGGGAGCGAACAGG
rnacentral:rRNA from 1 species